rnacentral:rRNA from 1 species
GACGAACGCUGGCGGCGUGCUUAACACAUGCAAGUCGAACGGAAAGGCCCUGCUUUUGUGGGGUGCUCGAGUGGCGAACGGGUGAGUAACACGUGAGUAACCUGCCCUUGACUUUGGGAUAACUUCAGGAAACUGGGGCUAAUACCGGAUAGGAGCUCCUGCUGCAUGGUGGGGGUUGGAAAGUUUCGGCGGUUGGGGAUGGACUCGCGGCUUAUCAGCUUGUUGGUGGGGUAGUGGCUUACCAAGGCUUUGACGGGUAGCCGGCCUGAGAGGGUGACCGGGCACCAUGGGAAUGGGGUACGGGCCAGAAUCCUACGGGGGGGAAGAGGGGGGAAUAUUGCCAAAUGGGGGGAAGCCUGAUGCAGGAACGGCGGGGGGGGGAAGAAGGCCUUCGGGGUGUAAACCCGUUUUGGCUGGGACGGAGGGUGAGUGACGGUAAUGGGUAAAGAAGCACCGGCUAACUACGUG